GGGCCCGUAGCUCAAUUGGUUAGAGCAAGGGACUCAUAAUCUCUUGGUUCCCGGUUCGAGUCCGGGCGGGCCCA
rnacentral:tRNA from 1 species